rnacentral:rRNA from 1 species
GGGCCCGCACAAGCGGCGGAGCAUGCGGCUUAAUUCGAUGCAACGCGAAGAACCUUACCUAGGCUUGACAGUUGGGAAAUCUGGCAGAGAUGUCAGGUCCGUAAGGGCCCCAAAACAGGUGGUGCAUGGCUGUCGUCAGCUCGUGUCGUGAGAUGUUGGGUUAAGUCCCGCAACGAGCGCAACCCUCGUCGUAUGUUGCCAGCGGAUAAUGCCGGGGGACUCAUACGAGACUGCCGGGGUCAACUCGGAGGAAGGUGGGGACGACGUCAAGUCAUCAUGCCCCUUAUGUCUAGGGCUGCACGCAUGCUACAAUGGCCGGUACAGAGGGCCUGCGAAACCGCAAGGUG